AUCGGAAGCUGCAUCCAGUUCUCCAUAGGGAAGAAAAACAACAUCUAGAGAGACUGAACAAGGAGUACCAAGAGAUUUUUCAGCAACUCCAGAGAAGUUGGGUCAACAUGGAUCAAAAGAGUAAACACUUGAAAGAAAUGUAUCAGGAACUAAUGAAAAUGUGUCAUAAACCAGAUGUGGAGCUGCUCCAGGAUUUGGGAGACAUCGUGGCAAGGAGUGAGUCUGUGCUGCUGCACAUGCCGCAGCCUGUCAAUCCAGAGCUCACUGUAGGGCCCAUCACUGGACUGGUGGACAGGCUCAACCGCUUCCGAGGUGAGUGUCGCCCUCUUGGUGGGAUCAACAUGCAAUGCCUUCAUUUAUGGUUUUCUAUGGGCAGCUUUACCAGUGUAAUCAUCUUUCAUCUAGAAGAAGUGAAUAGUCUGUGAAUAGGUAUUUCUAUUUAUAGUUUCACUAUCAUCAAACUGACCAGAAUAAAUAAAAUCUGGUGAAAUGUAAUAGGAAUCAGC
rnacentral:lncRNA from 10 species